UCCCUCUUAGCUCAGCUGGUAGAGCGCGUCACUAGUAAUGACGAGGUCAGUCGUUCAAGUCGGCUAGAGGGAA